GACAGACAAGGGUAAAACUUAAUGCCCCCUCAACUGCGGCAGGGGCAAUAAAAAAAUUCAGAGCAGAAAUAAUUAUGAGGACAAGAUUCACAAAAUAAUCACCAAAACAAAAUCUUCAGAUAUUUUUUUUAAUAUUCAAAAGAAAAUGUUUGGUUUUUUUGGGGGGAAAACUCAGAAGUACUCCAUUUAAAUGUUAUUGCCACUGAAUGUUAAUCAAACAAGUAACCAUGGUAACUACAUGUAGUAUGUUAAUUUGGAUACUGUUUUGUGUAUCAUACUUUGAUAUUUUUAUAUUUUACAUCAGAUUUUAGUAAAUUUAAUUCUAAGUAAUUAAUGAGUAGUUUCUAGUCAUGCAUCAGUGGUUUUAUUUAUUGUAAGACUUCUUUCUUCAUGGCUCAGUGAAUUUUGAUCCAUUGAGUAUUAGUUUACUCUCUAGGUUUAACUAGUUUGUGCUAUGAAAACUCUAUCUCCUUUAUGAUAAUUGGUUCAUUAAGUCAUGUGUCGAUUUAGGAGGGAAAUUCUUUUGUUUAGUCAGACUUUACUUAUAUUUUGAACUGAUUGGAGCUGUGCUGUUCCUUAUAUAAUUUUAUUCAAAUUUGAUGGACAUCUUUGAUUUUUUUUCAAAUAAGGAAAUUUGUAUUAGUAAAUGAAUCAAAUGAAGAAUCUUCAUGGUUAAUGCAUAGAAAGGAUAUUUGAAGAGAGCCAAUGAUUGACAUAAGGAGAAGCAGUUAUGAAUUUUGAAAUUGAUAUAAAGGAGAGGUCAUUCAUCACAGAAGAUUUAAUCCAAGUUUACAGUAUGUUGAGAGAAGUUCAGAACAAGCAAUUUGGUUGAAGAGGAGUUGUCAACACGUCAUCUUUGAAUAAGGUCAAUUGUAUUAGAAGUGAAUCCUUAACAGAAAUGAGACAAUAAUCAAACAAUUCAAAGACUACAUGGAUGUUAUCUGGACUAGCAUUUGUAUGACCUAAAUGUGGUAUUUUUCAUAUGAACACUUACAAGGCAGAUACUAGUCUGUGACAAACAUUUGUAUGCAAUUAAAGACUGAAGAACUAAUGUACGGUAUUCUUCAGAUUUCAGUAGAAUUUGUUUAAAACAGUACAUUCUUGGUAUGAAUUGAAGAAUUUUUGCUCAUUUAAAUGAAUUAUGAAAAUGUUUUAUAUGUUUAGAAUAAA